ACACACACACAGGACCUGCACCUCCACUAUUUACAUUCCCCUACACUUGAUAUGGCCACUGACCCUGCAUUGUAAAACAACAUAACCGAGGGCCAAGAACUCACCACUGCAAAACUCUCCUGCUGAUAUAAAGUGGGAGAGGAGGAGGAGGAGGAGGCUUGAUGGAAACAAACGGAUGCACUGUAUAUGCACUAUAGUGGCUAGACAGUAAUGUGAUGGAUCCAUUUACUGUACUGAGGCUUACCAUUGUUGGCAGAACACCUCCACAGUUUGACUUUCAGCGUGUUGUUUUUCUUUCCCAGCUUCACUCACAGUCGGGGAAUCACUUGCUAACAAAGCUGUUGCUAUCAGUAGCAAAAUAGCAAACAGACUUUUUUCUCUUCAGUUCUAACAAGCAGUAGUGAAGAAAAAUAAUGCUGCAAUUAAAUCUGUCGAGGUAUUUCUUAAAAGGGAUUUUUUCCUGAUAUAAAAGGGCACAGAUAUAUCAUUGAGCUAUGGAUGGUAUAUUGUGUCAGUUAGUUUUUAGCGUUUAGUAUUUAUGCUACAAAAUGAGGUCUUACAGAAGUAUUUGUUCAUAGAGAAGGCUGGAUUUGGCACUCCUCAGGAUUGAGAAUUAUGUUUUGUUUUUUUUAAGGAAAUACUGUCACUAACCCAGACUGAGAUAAGAAGUGAGAAGGUCGUUAUUAGUUGAGUUGUUUUCACUUCUGCUGUUCUCUAACUCCCUCUGCUUUGUGCUAAAAUAGACGAAAGUCUGUACUGGAUGUACAGAAAUGAAACUGAUAUUGAUCUUUCUCAUCUGAUUCAGGGUAAGUUGAGGCAUAUUUCCCCAAAUAUCAGUUUUAAUUUUGAUUUUACAGCACCAGUGUGGCCCUUAGUUUGUGGUCAUUUGUUUCAGUGCAAAUUUCUUAAGGAAUAUGCUGAAGCACAAUAUAAACUGAAAGGUACUACCUGCCUUAUUACCUGUUCAUGAGGUUGACUUCGUUGACUAAGACUUUUCUCAGUGACUAACGUUUUAGUCGACUAUUAGGGGACAGCCCUGGUGGAAACAAUUAGAAAACCUAAAUUGCAGACGUAUCCGAAGCCUUUAGGGCAUUGAUAUUCACUCUCCGUGUUACAAACUGAUUUGCUUUAUCUGUUUGUUUUAGUACGGAGGAGAAUGGCCGGAGAGCAUCAGCAGAGUUAUGUCCUUGAAGUAAGGGGGGACAUGUGUUUGUUAGCGGCGGUUCUCAACGGCGAGAUCUCCAAUCAUCUGGUAUCACAAGACUACAGGCUGAGUAGUACUGAUCAUGACGUGUAAAUUGAUCUUUAUAAUUGUUAUUUGUUCAUAUUGUGUUUGCAUGGUGCAUAUUCCUUAAUAAGUGUGUGCUUAAUCAAAUUUCCACAAACUAAUGGAAGAGUGGAAGAAUGGAGGAGUCAACUGCAGCCAGUUUUUGCCCUAAGAUUAGCGGAUUAAUCUGGUCUAGAGUGUCUGUUUUUUACCUUCAGGUUUGACCCUCGUCCCACUUUUAAUCAACAUUCAGUUGGAUAUGUUCACAUUUCACUCUUGUCACAUUAUAGGAGAAAGGAAAAAGCUCUUCAACUGCGUGAAAACUGAUCCAUGACACUGGUUCCCUCUAAUGUCUGUGCUCCGAUCUCGAUGCUGUGAUGUCACACCACAUCUGACAAAUGAAAGGCAAGAUGAGGGAAUUCAUUUUUUUAGGGAGCGAGGAUUUUAACACAGUUUUUAUUUCACAAGCUGGUUAUUUUAUUAUUUUGACAUGUUUUUGUUUUAAAAGAACAUCCAAAUAACUGUAGUCGGUCAGUGCUAUGAUUUGUAGUUGCAGUCACUCCAGUGCUCCACACAGCAAGCACAAGCUGCAGAGUGUUUGGAAAGAUUUGGCUGAAAUCAGCUGUCAUUAGGCUGAAAAUGGGAAAUAGUACUAUUUCUGAUGUGUCAUAGUUUAAUGUUCCACCAUGGACUUAACCACUCCCCUUGUUUUUAUAUGAGUUAUUUACUUGAAGCGGUGACUGAUGUUUGAGUCAGACUGAAGUCCGCUCUGGACUUAUUUUCUCAAGACUUUCUGUUUCACUCAGAGCCCCUCUAUCAUGUUGUGUUUUAUAUGUGCAAGUCUGUAUUCUGUUAGUCGAUGACCAGUCAUAUGCUUCAGUCAGUGUUUUGACACAUACAUGCACUGCAGUUGGAUUCUGCUCAGAGCACGUGUUCUCCUAAACGUUACUUUAAAGAGUAACAUAUUGAGUUUCUAAUUUUUGGUAAAAUUUGGUAAUCAUGGGGAGGAAGAAGUCUUACACUUGGCUUAGUUAAAGCAAAGCUUGUUAAUUUUUAGUGUUCAUAAUUGAGAGCAGUUAUAACCACUAGCAGUACUUGGGUCUUAGGGACGUCAUACCUUGUAAUGCAGUGCUGGAUGUCUUCUGAUGUAGCUUAGAAAUCACUCCCACAGGAAGAAUUUUGAAAAAUACAAACUCCCCCUUGACAGCCUCUUUGUUCACCACCACGCUAAACAGCAGUGUGCUUAGUGCUGCCACUGGAAGCCGAAUAUAGAUCAGUGACACUACUGCUAUAGUGAGUAGUCUUUCUUUAAUAUAACUUCCAGCCACUGCUGCUGAUUAAAGUUCCGGUUUGUUAGCAUGGAUCAAAUCCGGCUUUAUAGCUCUGUGAUCUAUGCGUCUUCAGAACCCACCGAGAGCAUUUCCGAGGCUUGCCGCAGGUGCGUCGCAACUUCUAUUAAAAAUUAACCAGCUGCAUAUUCUCUAUGGAGCAUAUGCAUAUAGCAUAUGGCAUUGUCUAAAACAACGAAAUCAGAUCCAGUUGUCACAGCCACACUAGUUGUUGCUAAAUCGAUUGCCCACGAGCAGGGGCGAGUUUGUAUAUAUUCAAAUUAAAAUUUUCAACAUUCUUCCCAUAACACAUUUUAUGAAUGCAUAUUUUACAGUGAUGUCUAGGUUCCAUUAGACAUCCAUCCAGGACUGUAAUAUAAAACAUGAUGGUCAUGGAUUAGGGCUAGGUCUCGGUAAGAUGCUAACAAGCUGUAUCUUGGGUUGAACUCCAGAACAAACAAAUUACUUUUUAAACCGAUAACUGCACAAGCACAUUAUGAUGAAAAAUAAUUUGUAACUACUAAGACGGUAUGUAAACCCUGUCUUUGUGUUGGAUCACAGCAGCCUCUGUAUAAGGCUUUGCCCUGAGUUGUACGACAAGAUAAUCUUGUGUUAUUUAGUGUUAUAUUUGGUUCUGCAGUCGCCACAUUGAAGAAGAUGAUGGUAAUAAGGAGGUCAAUAGCAUGACGAACAACGAUUCCCCCGUCCCUCCAGAUACUAUACCUGUGUGGAACUGCCUUUCUGGGGGUAAAAAUGCUAAGAAUCCGUGUAAUGUGAAUUCAUCCAAAUAGAACAGAAAUCCUGGAGUUAAAGUUGAUGUGCAGCAACUAAUUCUGCCAGAUAGAAAUGUGAACUGCCUCUCCCUGCCAUUUUGUGUCUUGUUUACAUAUCAUGAAGAUUUACUUUGCUGUAGCUGUUACAACUGUGUAGCUGUAGGGGAGCAGUGUUCCGGGUGUGAGCUUCUCUAAGCUGUACACGGCUGACAACCUCCAGCUUCCAUCUACUUCUGAGCCAUUUAAAGCAUAUUUGCAUUUUGAACCUCUGCCAUGCUCCUGUUACACUGUAGUGAAAAUGUUAACUCAUGAGGAACUUCAUUACGUCGGUUUUCAUUCUUCAUUGAAGCCAAAGGGGUGUUGUCAGCUGUCAGCUAACAAGCUAGCUUGUUGUAAUCUGCCACCCAAUAGUUUUGAUAAGGAAUCCUGACAUGUAAAUCUUAAAAAGAAAAGUCACAAAAACAGGUCACAGAUAUACAGAUAUGUGGACUUGAGUCACAUGAAUGACAUCGAAUGAUUUUACAUUAGGCUUGACAAAAUCAAACCAAUGACUCGUGACUUUACUUGGACUUGAGCCUUUUGACUUGAAAAAACGUGAUACCUUCCCCCAAGCUCAAAGAUUAAAAAGUAUUUAAAAUUCCCCCACGAAUCUAUUAUUUUCCAUAACUUCAUAAAACAAGUAACGUUAAUAUUCAUUCUUAGCAAGUCGACACUUAAUUUCCCAUAUCCACUUUGUUUGAACCAAGUAGCUGAAGAGAACCAUGAAGAAUUAACGUUACGUUACUGAGCGCCAUUUGGAAAACUUAUACUAAGGGUAAUUUUGUUCAGUUCAUUAUGUUGUUAAAAUGGUAUUACAUUUUGUGGAGACUCGUUAUGACAUUAUGCUUAGGACUUGAAACUAAAAGUUUUGGACCUGGGACUUGAGUGCAAAGAAUUGAGACUUACUUGUGACUUUAAAAACAAUUUGGCCCCUCCUUUGCAAAUAUAUAAUAUUUAUAUAAGUUGUAUCUUAAACAGACGCUAAUGUCAACAUUAUAUAACAUAACAUGCUGCUAACUAGCAGCUCACAAGCUAGCAGCUAUUAACCAUUAGUUUAUUAUGAAUGGCAUUGGUAAAAGAGUCAUUUCCAGUGAACUAAAGAGCUACCAACUUGUUCACAACAAUGUGACAGGCAUCUUGGGCACCAAAACAUGUCCCCUUAAAUCUGGUCUCAGUGGGUCUGUUUUAAUCACAGCUGGAUGGCUCAGCUGCAUUUUGAAAGCAACCCCUUUGUGAAACAUGGGAACAGAAAUCUAUCAUGUAGAAUAGAUCUGAGUGUCACAGGAUGCAAUGGUACCUUCUGCUUUGGGAGGUUUGGGCUACUUAUGAUAUCUUCACACAGUAUAAAUGACAUCUAGGAAGCAGAGGGCUUUGUAGAAAAUGUGUCCUAUGGACAGCAUUUGACAUACCUCAUCUGACAGCGCCAGACAGUCAUUGUUGGAAACUCUUUGGAAAAGGGCAGGCACUUGAUGAACCAUCUGUCUAUCAUCUUCUAACACGGGCGAACUUACAAUCAGAUCAACAUGUAACUCAUGAUUACCUACCAGUAGUUCCUCAUCGGACGAUGAUUGGUCCAGUACCACUGUGGUUGGACACAAGCUCAUAGCUUGAAGCCUGGCAAGAUGGAUUCUCAUGUGAUUUCAUAAUCUUGAAAGUCCAUCAAGGUUACAUAGUCCCUCCAGGAAAUUGCGAACGCGACAAUUAACACAAAUUCAACCAACCCCCCCGAAUUCUGUGCGACCUUAAAAUUUUGUCCAAUCCUCAGAUUUGACCAAUCAUAGUUUCCCAUAAGUUUCAUUAAUCAUAGCAGUACUCUCCACAAAAUGUUGACCUCGCAGAAGCAGAACUUAGUACUUGAAUAUAUGAAAACCUUAACAAGAAACAAUGAACUGAAGGUGGGCUUUAUUAGAGCUUUCAACCACGUCUCACCGUCGAAAGCUCAGGAAAAGGUUUUUGGUCAAACUACUGUUUCCAAGGUCACAAAUUAACAUUCUUGAAUAGAAAAGCUGUUUUUUGCCAACACGCUCACUGAGAAGUGAGCCCUAGUGGCAGUACAAUACCGGAGUUUUGGUACUGAUACAACAAUAUAUUUUCUGAAAUCCUUUUCAGAAGAAGAAUAUGCCGGAAAUAUUAAAUGUAUGUACAAACAUAAAAUUAGUCAAAUGAAACCAGGAACUAUUGGAUCAAAGAAUCAGAUGCAGCAUAAUGAAUGACAGAUAUGUGAUGGUACUCUUCGACACUCACUGUUGCAGCCACAUUUGUGCCAAAAUGUGCUGACACUUGAUCCCCAGCCCACUGCGAACUGUGACCCUCCAUCUGUUCCUCAUGUGUUUCUGCCCGUCUGCAGUGUACUCCUUAGAGCCGUAAGCUCAUCAUUCAUACUGUAUUUGUCAUCUGAUAUUUCCAUUGUGCAAUAGAUAAUGUUUAUUUUUAUUGUUGUUUUGUGUAUCCUGUGAAACCAGUGUGAUGUUUUUGAUAUGUAGUAUAUGUUUUUAAUAUGAUUAUUUAAGCACCUGCAACUACCCCCUCCUCUGUGCUCACUUGGCAGAGGAAGUUCAUGCUUUGAUUUCAUUCCAUUACCUGCAGAAUCUACAAACCUUUCAUUCCAAAAUUCUUUUUAUCUAUUUCAGGGAAAGAAAGUGGUCAAGACGAUGCUCAUUACUUAACAAGAAAUGUUAGCAUCCUAUAAAUAAAUCUUUAUUCAAUGACAGCUGAAAACUAUCAAGAUUUACAAUUUAAAACUUUAAUUUUAAUGUGCAUUUUAUUUCUCUCAAAAUUGUGGAAAUUUCAUUUUGGUAUGAAGCCUUUGUCUUUACUGAUGCUUGAUAGUGAGCAAAAGUUAUUUUGGGGGACUUGUUUCAUUCUUUGUUCACUUAACUUUUUUCUUCUCUGAAGCUUUUGUUUUCUGCCUUCAACUGCCCUUCCUCCCAUGUAGGCAAAAUAAUCUGAUUCGUCUGUAUUAAGAUGAAUACAAUGUGCAUACAGUCUGUAUAGUAUCAUGUCUGUUAUAUUUGUCCUAUAAAAAGUGAAGACAAAGAAGAAAAAGUAAACUUAAUAAAGAACCAUUCGGAGGAUUGCUCACAGUUACACUAAAAGCUGAGGAGAGAACAGAUGCUGGUUUAUUUUGAACAGUGAUCCUCUAUAUGGUCUGUACUGUUUACUAGAAUAAAUAUUUCAGUUACAUGAAAA